AGCACAAGUGAUGAAUGACAAAGAAAGGGACUUAAUACUGAAACCUAGUGUUGAGAUUCAAUAUGCUGAUGUGC